AACGAACGCUGGCGGCGCGUCUUAAGCAUGCAAGUCGAGCGGUAAGUUGGAAGCUUGCUUCUAACCUAGAGCGGCGGACUGGUGAGUAACGCGUGGGUGACGUACCUCUGUGACGGGGACAGCUCCUAGAAAUAGGAGAUAAUACCGGAUACGCUGUGUGCUGUCAGAGGGCACACAGGAAAGGAUCUUUUGAUCCGCACAGAGAGCGGCCCGCGUACUAUUAGCUGGUUGGUGAGGUAACGGCCCACCAAGGCGACGAUAGUUACCCGGCCUAAGAGGGUGAUCGGGCACAUUGGGACUGAGAUACGGCCCAGACUCC
rnacentral:rRNA from 1 species